rnacentral:tRNA from 1 species
GCCUCCUUAGCUUAGUGGUAGAGCGUCAGUCUUGUAAACUGAAGGUCGUGGGUUCGAUUCCCAUAGG